UUUUGGGACGCAGACACGUGGAGCCCCCAUGUUAACUUCUUGUCGUCAAUCACCCCUCUCUCCAGGAUCUCUAUUUUCAAGGCAACGAAACGAAAUGCUUCGAAGGCGACGACUUGGGAAGUCGAAUUU
ensembl:ncRNA C52E4.16 ncRNA